UACAGAGGGUGCGAGCGUUAAUCGGAAUUACUGGGCGUAAAGCGCACGUAGGUGGCGACGUAAGUCGGGUGUGAAAGCCCCGGGCUCAACCUGGGAAUUGCAUUCGAGACUGCAUUGCUGGAGUACGGAAGAGGAGGGCGGAAUUCCCGGUGUAGCGGUGAAAUGCGCAGAUAUCGGGAGGAACACCCGUAGCGAAGGCGGCACUCUGGGCCGGUACUGACGCUGAGGAGCGAAAGCGUGGGGAGCAAACAGG
rnacentral:rRNA from 1 species